rnacentral:rRNA from 1 species
UACGUAGGGUGCGAGCGUUAAUCGGAAUUACUGGGCGUAAAGCGUGCGCAGGCGGUUCGUUGUGUCGGCGGUGAAAGCCCCGGGCUUAACCUGGGAAUGGCCGUUGAAACUGGCGAACUGGAGUGUGGCAGAGGGGGGUGGAAUUCCGCGUGUAGCAGUGAAAUGCGUAGAUAUGUGGAGGAACACCGAUGGCGAAGGCAGCCCCCUGGGAUAACACUGACGCUCAUGCACGAAAGCGUGGGGAGCAAACAGG